UACGUAGGGUGCAAGCGUUGUCCGGAUUUACUGGGCGUAAAGGGCGCGUAGGCGGCCAACUAAGUCGGACGUGAAAUCCCUCAGCUUAACUGGGGAACUGCGUCCGAUACUGGAUGGCUUGGAUUUGGGAGAGGGAUGCGGAAUUCCAGGUGUAGCGGUGAAAUGCGUAGAUAUCUGGAGGAACACCGGUGGCGAAGGCGGCAUCCUGGACCAAUAUUGACGCUGAGGAGCGAAAGCUAGGGGAGCAAACGGG
rnacentral:rRNA from 1 species